GGAGGGGUGGCAGAGCGGUUGAAUGCGCCGGUCUUGAAAACCGGUAGGCGGGGUGACCUGCCUCGAGGGUUCGAAUCCCUCCCCCUCCG
rnacentral:tRNA from 1 species